GAUUAACGCUGGCGGCGUGCAUAACACAUGCAAGUCGAACGAUGAAACUUUAAUGAACCCUUCGUGGAGAAUUAAAGCGGAUUAGUGGCGAACGGGUGAGUAACGCGUGAGUAACCUGCCUUACACAAGGGGAUAGCCUUUGGAAACGAAGAAUAAUACCCUAUAAAACCAUAAAAGCACAUGCAAUUAUGGUCAAAGUGAUAGCGGUGUAAGAUGGACUUGCGUCUGAUUAGCUAGUUGGUGAGAUAAAAGCCCACCAAGGCAACGAUCAGUAGCCGGCUUGAGAGAGUGUACGGCCACAUUGGGACUGAGACACGGCCCAGACUCCUACGGGAGGCAGCAGUGGGGAAUUUUGCACAAUGGGGGAAACCCUGAUGCAGCGACGCCGCGUGAUUUAGAAGGCCUUCGGGUUGUAAAAAUCUUUUGUAUAGGAAGAAAAUGACAGUACUAUACGAAUAAGGUCCGGCUAAUUACGUG
rnacentral:rRNA from 1 species